rnacentral:lncRNA from 1 species
GUGUGGGGCUGGGGGGGACGUGAGGGGCAGGGUACAUAUGGGGCAGGGCUCGGCCAUGGGUCCAGCCCUCCUGCUAUGGGGCAACCCCUCAUAUCACCACCCCCCACCAGGCACGUGGGUCACAUCGGAUGGGACCCCAACAGCGGCUUCAACGUGCAGGAGCUGGACCCAGACUUGCGGGCGCUGUUCGCCCCGGCCGGCAUC